rnacentral:lncRNA from 1 species
GCCUGGCACAUAGUAAACACUUGACAAAUGUCAUUUUAAAAAAAUAAAAAAUCUCCAUUUCCCAGCACCACCUGGACCACUGGAGCGUUUUGAAAGAGAUGGAAUCAACCAGUAGGAGUGGAAGAAGAGCUCAGCCAUUCAGCAAGCCAGGAGAACAAAUCUCCCUUAUACAAGUUUCCAAACCGCCACCUUACUGUUGAAGAGCCUUGUGUACCAUCGAUCUACUCCAAAGCAUCAUCCCUUCUAGUGAAUGACAUUCUACAUCAAGGGAUCAUGGGACAAUUCUUCCCUUCGGAAUAUGUAUCGCAACCUUCACAUUUGAAGACCACAUGUUGCAGGGUUCCAAGCACAGCAGCUGGUGCACAUAAAUAGCAACUCCCUUUUCUCCCAAUCCCAAAUGGGGUAUUGCAGCAAGCCUCAUCAGGGUUAAGCAUUCUAAUCUACUUCCUGCUUCUCCAGUCUGUCUUGUUCCCUGACGAGUGACCGUGUUGACCUUUGGUACAUACU